AAGAAGUGGCUGCAUAAGCACGUCUUUCAGCAGAGGUACACUGUUUUCAGAUGCAGGCACCGACCCGUGUAGACUUCGAAGAAACGUUGGUACCAUUGUUAAAUCACCUUGCCCAGAGCCGCCAGCGGUCCAGCCUCCAGCUUCUCAGCUUCCGUGCCACGUGACCUAUUAGUCCUCAGAACUUCUGACAAAAUGAUACAUAGAGGGAAAAAGAAGUCUCUUUGUAAAAGCGAAUGCAACAUUUCCGACUGUAGUGAAGCAUCGUUGGGAAGAGAACUCCCUUGGCUCGUGGAGCUUUGCUGCAGUUCUGCGGGGCAAAUGGACUGAUUUGCUGGUUGUUGCUUUGUGACUUGUCGAGAACUGUAUGAAAGUGGCUUAUGGACCCCCGUUGCUGUGGUAAAGCUACUUUCAGAGAAUGGCAGUGCCCCAGGACACACAGCAGCCCUCAGAGCCAGUGAGAGAGGAAAUCACCUCAACAGUUUAAUCCCACACACCCGUUCCCGCUGCAUUCCACUUUCAACCUGGUCCACGCUCACUCCAGGCCCAUCCUUCAUGGGGGCGGGCAUACAGGAACAGUGCCGGGUGUAGACGCGUAACAGCAC
rnacentral:lncRNA from 1 species